GACGAACGCUGGCGGCGUGCCUAAUACAUGCAAGUCGAACGCAGUGGGGACGGGUGAGUAACACGUGGGUAACCUCCCAUCAGAGGGGAUAACACUUGGAAACAGGUGCUAAACCGAUACUGAUGGAGGUACCCGCGGUGCAUUAGCUAGUUGGUGAGGUAAAGGCUCACCAAGGCCACGAUGCAUAGCCGGCCUGAGAGGGUGAUCGGCCACACUGGGACUGAGACACGGCCCAGACUCCUACGGGAGGCAGCAGUGGGGAAUCUUCGGCAAUGGACGAAAGUCUGAUCGAGCAAUGCCGCGUGAAUGAAGAAGGCCUUCGGAUCGUAAAGCACUGUCGUUAGGGAAGCGGUAUCUGAACAGAAAGCCACGGCUAACUACGUGCCAGCAGCCGCGGUAAUAC
rnacentral:rRNA from 1 species